CCUACGGGUGGCAGCAGUAGGGAAUAUUGCUCAAUGGGGGAAACCCUGAAGCAGCAACGCCGCGUGGAGGAUGAAGGUUUUCGGAUUGUAAACUCCUUUUGUUAGAGAAGAUAAUGACGGUAUCUAACGAAUAAGCACCGGCUAACUCCGUGCCAGCAGCCUCGGUAAUACGGAGGGUGCAAGCGUUACUCGGAAUCACUGGGCGUAAAGAGCGCGUAGGCGGGAUAGCAAGUCAGAGGUGAAAUCCUAUGGCUUAACCAUAGAACUGCAUUUGAAACUGUUAUUCUAGAGUAUGGGAGAGGUAGGUGGAAUUCUUGGUGUAGGGGUAAAAUGCGUAGAGAUCAAGAGGAAUACUCAUUGCGAAGGCGACCUGCUAGAACAUAACUGACGCUGAUGCGCGAAAGCGUGGGGAGCAAACAGGAUUAGAUACCCCAGUAGUC
rnacentral:rRNA from 1 species